CAUCCUCAUAUACCAGCUCUGGAAGACAAAGAACAACACGGCCACUUAUACCGAGAAUAGCAGGGAACGCAUGUUGGCGAAGUGAGUGUCCAUGGCUCCUCCAUGUGGGAAGUUUUGAUUCAUUCUCUUCAUGAGCUCAGUGAAGCAGCUGAAGGCCAUGGCCUCUGAAAGAAGGAAGCAGAGAGAGGAACCCUGAGUGAAAAGUGUGACUGUCGGUGUGUGCUCCUGCUUCACCUCAUUGCUCACAGUGGAGUCGUGAUGGAUCAU